rnacentral:misc_RNA from 1 species
CGCAUCUUGCACCCAAUGGUAUUCCGUUGGGUAUGCCUGUUUGAGUGUCAUUUAUCUCUCAGUCCCUCGACUUUUUUGGUAAAGUUGAGGUGAUCUGGAAUUUGAGUGCGGUUUUUCUGACCAAAACCCACUUUAAAGUAAACGAGUUGACCAUGUUUACGGUUUGACUGGGUGUUGUAAUUUCGCCUCACUCGGGACGUAGUCUAGUUAACGAAACUAGCUUUGACGCAAAAAUGACUUUGACCUCAAAUCAGGUAGGAUUACCCGCUGAACUUAA